ACAGCCCCCUCUCUUUUCUUCUUCUCCGCAUAUGCCCACUCCCUCACCCAUUUUCCAUCAUAGCCACCAUCCAACCACUUUCCCUCCUCCUCCUUCAUUGGCGCAACCCUCUUCCUCCCUUAGCUUGUCAGAAAAUGUAAAAAAGUUGGUGGAGGAACUGCAGUUCGGCUACCACCUCUAGAACAGUCACUUGUUGGUCUUAUUUUACAAAUUUGACAUUGAAAACUCUUAACCACCGAAAACCUUAAGAUCAGCCCUUUCCUCUAUUUUUCCACCGUCGGAAGCUAUGUCCAAGACUCACCGAAGCUGAAGCUUUUAGGUCUCAAUCCAGUGGCUUCUGGUGAAAUUUCGGCAAAGAUAUUUAAAUAUCUGGAUUCUACGCAUCUCAAGCUUCAUGUAGGCACCUCCGGAGUCGAAUUUCGACGCCAUUGACUGUACCGGCUUUCGGACCUCGGUGACGGCUUGGUUCUCCGUCGUCCUUCUGUUUUAAUAGCCCAGCUUCUUUCUUAUUUGAGUCUAAUGUAAUUAAUUUCGUUUGCAUUUUUUAUUAUUUGAAAUCUAGAUUCUCUACAGUAAUGGUUCUAAAACUUAAUAUUUUAUUUUCAUUUAAACCUAUGGAAAAAUAUUAAAUGAUUAUGUUGAUGGACUGAUUUAAUUA